GAAUUUAGUGAAUCAUCGAAUCUUUGAACGCAAAUGGCGCUCCUGGGUCCUCCCAGGAGCACGUCUGUCUGAGCGUCGUUUCUCACAUCCAAUACUCCUUUAUUGUGUGUAUUGGGCAAUGAGGUGUCCCUUUACUGUACUGUAAUCGGUCCCUUGAAGUAGAGCGAUCCCCGAGCUGUAGCAUGUGCCCUAGCGGGUCAGCUCCUCGGCGUGAUAGUGAGUUUUCUUUCUAACGCGUCAGAGAAGUUGUCCAUAACGUUACGUGGUAUCAUACUCGAUUCGGUUGAGAUUGAUGGAUACGGCAAGUGUACGUGUAUAUUUUAUAUAUGUGUUUACUUGAGACCAACCAAGACCUCAGAUCAGGCGAGACUACCCGCUGAACUUAAGCAUAUCAAUAAGCGGAGGAAAAGAAACUAACCAGGAUUCCCUUAGUAAUGGCGAACGAACAGGGAACAGCUCAAAUUUUAAAUCUCGGUCGCUUGCGAUCGCGAAUUGUAGUUUCCAGAAACGUUAUCCCCACCGCGGUGACCGGUCCAAGUUGCUUGGAACAGCAUAUCAGAGAGGGUGAGAAUCCCGUUUCUGGCCGGUCCUUCGGUGGCACGAGGCGUUUUCGAAGAGUCGGGUUGUUUGGGAUUGCAGCCCAAAAUGCGUGGUAAACCCCACGUAAAGCUAAAUAUUGGCACGAGACCGAUAGCGAACAAGUACCAUGAGGGAAAGAUGAAAAGCACUUUGAAAAGAGAGUUAAACAGUACGUGAAACCGUUAAAAGGGAAACGAAUGGAGCCAGCAAGGCAUCCUGUUUGAUUCAGCCGGUGGCCGGUAGCCCCCGUCCUACAGUGAUCUUCGGACUCAUGUGGGAGACGGCGUUGCUGGUUGCCGUGUGCACUUAUUCAGGAUGCGUGCCAACUUGGCUUGGUGACGGUCAACACGGUCGUAUGGGAAGGUAGCUCUCCUCGGGGAGUAUUAUAGCCCUUCGUCCCGGAUCGUCGCCGAGUGAGGUGUUGCGGUACGUGCCUCUUUUGGCUUGGGCCUCGUUGGUGGUCUGUCACGCCUAGUGUUGACUGCACGCAGUGAGCAUUGGGUCGAUGGCCGGCUGCCGGUGGGUGUCCCGUACACGUGCCUAGGAAGUUGGCGUGCAAAUGGCUUCAUCCGACCCGUCUUGAAACACGGACCAAGGAGUCUGACGUGUGCGCGAGUCUCAGAGUGGCAAACUCUAGGGCGCAACGAAAGUGAAUUUAGGUGAGAUCCUCACUUCGGUGAGGCGCAUCAUCGGCCGGCAAGGUUCACAUGUGAACAUGUCCGAGCAAGAGCGUACCCGUCGGGACCCGAAAGAUGGUGAACUAUGCCUGAGUAGGGCGAAGCCAGGGGAAACCCUGGUGGAGGCUCGUAGCGGUUCUGACGUGCAAAUCGAUCGUCAAACUUGGGUAUAGGGGCGAAAGACUAAUCGAACCAUCUAGUAGCUGGUUCCCUCCGAAGUUUCCCUCAGGAUAGCAGGAGCUCAUGCCCAGUUUUAUCAGGUAAAGCGAAUGAUUAGAGGCCUUAGGGAUGAAACAUCCUUAACCUAUUCUCAAACUUUAAAUGGGUAAGACGUCCGACUUGCUUAAUUGAAGCCGGGCCACGAAUGGGAGUUCCUAGUGGGCCAUUUUUGGUAAGCAGAACUGGCGAUGCGGGAUGAACCGAACGUUUGGUUAAGGCGCCUAAAUCGACGCUCAUCAGAUCCCACAAAAGGUGUUGGUUGAUAUAGACAGCAGGACGGUGGCCAUGGAAGUCGGAAUCCGCUAAGGAGUGUGUAACAACUCACCUGCCGAAUCAACCAGCCCUGAAAAUGGAUGGCGCUCAAGCGUCGUGCCUAUACCGGACCGUUCGAGCAAAUGCGAAGCUCGAACGAGUAGGAGGGCGUGGGGGUCGUGAAGAAGCCUCUGGCGUGAGCCUGGGUCGAACGGCCUCUAGUGCAGAUCUUGGUGGUAGUAGCAAAUAUUCAAAUGAGAACUUUGAAGGCCGACGUGGAGAAGGGUUCCAUAUGAACAGCAGUUGGAUGUGGGUUAGUCGAUCCUAAGAGAUAGGGAAACUCCGUUUUAAAGUGUCCGAUGCGCGACUUUCGUCAAGCCGGACCGCCUAUCGAAAGGGAAUCGGGUUAAUAUUCCCGAACCGGAACGAGGGGAUUCUGUCUUUCGGGGCAGAGAUGCGGUAACGCAAACGAACUGGGAGACGUCAGCCGGGAGCGGGAGCAGAGUUCUCUUUUCUGUUUAACAGACAGUCACCAUGGAAUGGGAUUAUCCCGAGAUAUGGUUCAGUGUCUGGUAAAGCACCGCGCCUCUUGUGGUGUUCCCUGCCUUCCGGAUGGCCCUUGAAAAUCCCAGGGAGAGAGUAAACUUCUUGUCCGGUCGUACCCAUAACCGUUUAUCCCGAGAUAUGGUUCAGUGUCUGGUAAAGCACCGCGCCUCUUGUGGAGUAAACUUCUUGUCCGGUCGUACCCAUAACCGCAGCAGCCUCUGGUCGAUAGAACAAUGUAGGUAAGGGAAGUCGGCAAAAUAGAUCCGUAACUUCGGGAAAAGGAUUGGCUCUAAGGGUUGGGUCUGUCGGGCUGCAGCUAAAGACUUGGAGGCCUUAGGCGGACUGUCCAGGAUCCGGUUAACACUGGGACUUGGAUGGACCGUCUUCGGCAUCCAGGAAGACGGUUGCAGCUUUGUCUUCGGACUCUUCGGCAGACAACUAACAACCAACUUAGAACUGGUACGGACAAGGGGAAUCCGACUGUUUAAUUAAGACAAAGCAUUGCGAUGGCCGGAAACGGUGUUGACGCAAUGUGAUUUCUGCCCAGUGAAGAAAUUCAACCAAGCGCGGGUAAACGGCGGGAGUAACUAUAGCGAAACCAUAGCCAAUAACGGCAUGUAUGAUGGCCCCCUGUGCAUAAUGCAGGGGCUGUGGCGUAGCCGUGAAGGGAAAAAACAAAGCAUCAUAUCGGUACUAAGGAACCUGCUGGAAAAGUUACAUUCGGGUCGCGAUACGGUGAGUGGGCACAGGGUGAAAGACAGGUGACGGGCGCACCUAAAGUCGGCUUCGGUCGGGGGGUGUGGCCCUGAUGACCCAGUCACAAAGUAUCGGACCCCACGCAGCUAAAAGAGGUGGAGAAUCCCUCACUGGACCCGAUGAAUCUUUGCUCGAAGAAACUCCACACAAGAUCGUAGACCCAGGGAUUCGAGUUUCGAAUAGAAUGAGAAUGCAUCUCCUCAGCCCAUUAGCUGCGUUAACAAAUCAGGUCUCUAAAAUAGCAUGUCCACGCUUCACGAGGUCCAUAGUUAAACGUAAGGUCAGAUCUAGAGCAUUGAAGAGGGGGACGGCAUGAUCGCGUCUUGGGGUAUCAGGAAUGGCAUACGCUGCCUAGCAAUAGCUAGUUGAGCGACCACUAUCGAGUAGUACUGACUCCAACC
rnacentral:rRNA from 1 species